AUUUUAUAGAGUCUCGCAAAACCAGGAAGCCGUGAGCGAAGCCGUGGCCUGAAGCUCUCUGGGUGAAACAGACUCGUUACUCUACGACCUCGUAAAAUCCUCCUGAUCCACUGCAGUCAGGAGGAGGAACCGACGUCGACACCCCCUCCCCCGGUCAUGUGAUCUUACGGUGCACGUUCUCCUGGUCCCCCUUCAGGCCCUGGAUGAUGCCGGUGUAGGCCUCCAGGCAGCCCUCCCGCAGCUCGUUCAGGUACUUCUUGAACUCCCCCCCGAUGGCCAAAGCAAUGUCUCCGAAGGCCGAGAGGAUCUGAGGCUUAACGGAGCGAUGGACAUUCUCAUUCUGGAGAACAGAGGGGAGGGGGGGGGUUAGCGUCCAGGGGGAGGCAUGGGCUCAGGUGUCUACGGUUACUAAGGAGCUACAAGAGGUCUCAGAUAAACGUGGUUGUUGUGUCAUCACAGUCAGCGUGGUGCAUGUUUAUCAUCAUGGACCAAGAAACUCAUUAAUACACAAGACCCCUCCCCCCCCCCCCCCCCUCCUCCUCCUCACCCCGAGGUUCUCCAGCAGCAGCUGCAUCAUCUCGUCACAGUAAGGCAGGAUGUUGGACAUCAGAGCUCUGCACAGGUCACACACCAAACCCACGGCUGCCAGACACACCUGUAACAACAUCAUCAUCAUGUAGCCCCCCGACUCAAUCUCUCAAACUACAGAAUGUGACGUGUGGAGGUCUCAGAUAAUUGUGGUUGGUUUUGUCAUCACGGUCAGCGUGGUGCAUGUUAUCAUCACGGACCAAUCAGACGCACAGCAGGGGGCUGGUUCCCGGCGGUGGACACUGACCUGAUACUCUGCGUAGUUCUUCAGGCCGAUGCCCAGGAAAGGCUUGAAAGGCGUCCAUGUAUUUCUGGAAGUCGCUGCCCAGAACUGAAACAAACAGACCAACAUUAACAACCCUGGUUUGCAUGGUGAGCGUGUGAGCGCGCGAGCGUGUACCUUCCACCAGAGUGGACACUGCCAUCAGAGCGUCCUCCUGGACCCCCCCGGAGCCGGCGGUGCUCUGAAACAUCCUCAGUAAUGACGCCAUCACCACGUCUGAGAUCUGAAGGGCGUCCUGAUGCUGCACUUUACGCAGCACGUUCUGCAACACACACACACAGGAAGUGACACUAAAGCGUAGACACCGCUGCAGUAAGAGCAUGAUGGGCAGGCCGGCCUCACCUGCAGAGUGGCACACAGCAGCGACUGCAGGUCGUUGAACUGGAUUCUGUCAGACGUGCUCUGGAUGUGAGACUGGGGGGCACAGGAAGUGACAUCGUUACACAGGACGCACAGCAUUCAUCUAUUGAUGGCCACAGGGAGCGAUUGAAUGGAAGGCGUGUGGAGGUCUCAGAUAAUCGUGGUAGGGUUUGUCAUCACAGUCAGCGUGGUGCAUGUUAUCAUCACGGACCAACCCCACGUCACCUUCAGAUACAACAUGGAACCACAGAGCAGACCCUCUUCUUCACCCGCCUCCUACUUAGUAAACUGCAUUUCUACUUGUUGGCCAUAGAUCUCAUUUCUUUAUCUGGACCCGCCAAGGGUCACUUUAAGGAGCCAGCGGAACAUUAACCACGUGAAUCAGAGGUUAGAUCUUCUCACCUCCAUCUGAAGGACGUGCUGUAGCCGCUCCAUAAUGACCAGGGUGGUCUUCUGCACCGCGGGGUAACAGUCCUUAGCGCUGUUCUUCACGAUCUCCAUCAGAGCCUCGUAGGCGGCAGAGCGCAGGUUGUUCUGGUGGCCGUCGGGUCUGUAGGAGGAAGCAUCAUCACCACCAUCAGAGCUACAGCAACACGGUCGACAAAUAUUCACCCAAAGGCCUAAUGAGUAAUAGAUCCAUUAUCUACACUUAUUCCAAGGGGGCAGAUAUGGAUUCAACAUCAGACCGAAUGUGGACCUCUGUACCGGUCUGUGGUCUCCAGGAGCUUCUGUACGAUGAUCUCAAAGGACGAGGACAGACAGUAGGUGCUGGGCUCCUCCUGGUCCUCUGCAGCAUCCGUGGCCUCAUAGGCUGCUUCAGCUAAAGACGAGAAUGCCUGCAGACGGGGGGGGUGGGGGGGGUUGUGUUAACCUCCAACAUGUGUGCGCACUCUCACUGCAAGCACAAGUCUCCCACUGAUUUACGUCACUGUUAAAGGUCACGUGGCCUCACAGCUCACCCAGCAGACGUUGGAAGCCACCCUAGGCUCCGCCCCCAGGCCCUCGAUCAGGCACUGCAGAAGGGGCGCCAGGUACACCUCGUUGAUCGCCGCCUCGGGCAGCAGCUCACAGAUCCUCCCCACCGUCCAGGCCGUGGUGUCUCUGACCACCACGCUGGGGUCCUUCAUCAGCUCGAUCAGGGUGGGCAUCGCCUGGCGACGACCAGG
ensembl:lncRNA